rnacentral:lncRNA from 1 species
GCAUAUUUUUGAUUGGGUGGCUUGUUUUUAUGAUACUGAGUUGUAUGAGCAUGUAUUUAUUCUUGUUAAUUAUCUUAUCUUUUAAGAAAUAGAUAAAUAGUUAAAUCAAUUCAUGGCUAAUCAAAUUAAACAAUAGAUAUGCAAGUAGAUAAAUUAAAAAUGAGUCCAGAGUGAGCACUGGUGAAAUGGGCCCUGACCCAACACUUCAGCUUGAUCCAGCUUUGGACAAGCGGGGUCCAUUAAAAGAGGAAAGAGGGUGCUUCAUUCAUUUUACAUGUUUAUGAUUUCAUGGUAUUUUUCUCCACUGUUGACUUACGUAUUGCACCAGGGAUAAAGAUUCAAGUUUCUAAUCUGUUAAGAGGUGAAACACAAGGAAUGACAGAAUGUUAUUAGUGAAGGAAAAUGAGACAUUCCUGGAUUCUCACAUAUUUAAAAUUUGAAUAAAUUCAGGAAAGAUUCAAAAAGGACCAAGAAUGGCGAUGGGGAGUGUGGAGUUGCAUGAAGACUAUUGGCUGAUCCUUGUGCCACCAGCGAGGUCCCCUGUAGAAAGAUUCUAUUAGGUCUGAGAGAAAUGAACAAAAAUCACAGAUUCAACAUACCCAAUCUGAUUGAUUCAGUGAUGAAGCUGUCAGCUGUCAGUAUCCGUGGAUACACAGCCAAGGGACUCACGUAUAGGAUGAAGAUGAUUUUUAUCUCAAAUGAUUCUGAAAAAGAGGGCAGACUCUGAAGAGUAUGGCGCCUAUGAGGUGGAGGAAGAUUAAUGACUAAUCCUGUUCCACCCUCCUGAGGGCCAUAUAACAAGAUGGGACCUAGUUUCUCCCUGCUUCGAUUAAGUACAUGGAGAUAUGCCAGGUAAUCAUAGUGCUUCAGUGCUGGGUUCAGUGGGAGGGUUUAGUAUUUCAUAGACAUGUAAUUUUACUAUAGCUCAUGUUUAUAGGAUAUGUUUAUUACAAAUCCUUAUAUUUAACAUUUAUAUAAUACAUUUUAUAGUUUAUUAUAAAUAAUACCUUUUUAAGAAAAGUAGAGGAUCAGAUUAUUUGAUUGAAAAUGAAAUGAAUAAGUGAAAGAACGUGUUAAAUAAAAGUAAG